CUUCGGUAAUUUUCCGUUCUACAGAUCCUUUUGUUCUUUUUAAAACCUUAACAAACAGUUUAGGUUUUUGUCCGUAAUGUUGGUCGAGAUAGUCUUUCGAGAAAGCCAUGUUUUUAUAAGACUUUGCUUUCGGAUUUGCUGCGGAACAAAAUGUUCUUGGUAUCGAACCACCAAGGUUUCUAUAACAGCUAAUGCAUCCGUGUUGGAUGCAUAUUCUUCGCGUUUUGUACAGAUGUGGAGUUCUUAUUGAUGAUUGUAAGUAAUGGGUAAUAAGUAUUGGGCCAGGCCAGCGAUUUGUUCGAGAAAAAGUUAGAAGUAUUGAUAUUCGCUUACGAAUGACUAUAAUUUCUAUGUGUACUUGCAGUACUUUCGUCACGAAACUAUGAGGAAAGUCAUUAUGCUCGGUGGCAACUUGCAGCAAUGUCUAGUUAUAAUGUUGGGGUCAGGUGUCAAUUGGGACGCAAGUCCUGUUCCUUUCCUCAGUCACACUUGUGUCCUCUGUUUAUUGUACAUGCAUGCGUAAUGAUUGUGUUGUGACAAAUGAUUAAAUUAAAUGAUCAUAUCACCAUAUACUGUACAUUUAUUUAUUUAACUUCGCCAUUAUCAUGCAUUCAUGGCAGGGUCACCACAACAGUAUGGUACCAAUUACUGUGGGCCCUUUAAAUAGAUAACAAGACGCUUGACAGAGCGUUAACUCGCUGGGGCUCUAGAACUUGUCCCCUGUUGCAAAAUUGCCGUGUCCGCGUAGCGAACGGAAGUGACCCAACAAGGACAAAAAUACCAUUGUUCGAAUCAGCGUACGAAAUUGUACUUACGGAUGCCAAAUUCAUUACUAAACAGCAGUAUUCUAGAGAUUUAUGGCCUUUGAAAGUCAAGCGAAAUUAUUUGUUCACAAUUGACAAAUCGCUCAAAAUUAUUAUUUAACUAAACGCAGUACGUUUGACCUUGAUAACUGUUGUAUCGUUGGUAUUCUCUUUUUUUGGACGUAUAUUUCAAUGGGUUUGUCUCACCGUUCUCUUCAUUUUGAUAGCAUUUGAUUCGACAAUAGUUUAUCUUGAAGGUUGAAAGCGACAUUUUAACCAAGCGUACGAAACAACUGCCGACCGACAGGUUUACGCCGAAAAGUUUUAUUCGUUGUGCACCGCAAUUUAGUACUGUGGCUGGUCUUAUAAAAGCAUAGUUACCACUUUGCAGUCUUUAUAUAUCGACUUUAUUUCAUAAUUUUCAUUGCAUCGCUGUCUUUGACAGUUUUGACUUUGUAUUUCUGUCUUUGUCGGGCUAUAAGAUGUCAUUUUGACUGCUUAACAGGAUUUACUUGGCAUUAAUACAUCUCCAAAUUCAUUAUUCUUUUCGUUGAAUUCUCAUUGCCGUAAAAAAGCAGUUUUAAAAGAACGUAGUACAGGAGCUUUGGCAUUUUUUAGUAAAAUUCUUGAAUUUUUCUCAAAACUUAGGGUAUUUAUGGAUAAUUUGGGUAAAAAUUGGCAGGAGCCUUAUGGAUAAUUUGGGUAAAAUUUGGCAGCUCAUUAACAUUCUAUUUUGCGGAGAAAAAUGUUAGCCGAAACCUAUACUCGCCAGGGCACAGUUCCCCAGCGAGUAAUAAAGCACAAAUAAAACACAACGAAAACUUCGAUUUACCUGUUCAAAGUCAUCACACGAAUUGAAACUUGAAGCUAAGGAAACAAAUUCCUCGAAGUUUCCAUUGUAUUGUAUUUCACAAACAUACUUAAUUAGCGGCUCGCAAUUUUAUAAAAAAAUAUAACAAUUAAUAGAAUAUAUAUUAAUAGAAUACUAUUGAAACAUAAUAAACAAGGCUAGGAAAUACAAAACAAGUGAAACUCCAAAAAUCGAUAACAUUUUUAUUUAUCUACGUUUCGAC